UCCUAGUACGAGAGGACCGGAGUGGACGGACCAAUGGUGUACCAGUCAUGCCGCCAGGCGUGCAGCUGGGUAGCUACGUCCGGGACGGAUAAACGCUGAAAGCAUCUAAGCGUGAAACCAGCCUAAAGAUGAGGUUUCUCAUUGUGAAAGCAAGUAAGGUCCCAUGAAGACGACAUGGUAGAUAGGCCGGGAGUGGAAGUGCAGUGAUGCACGGAGCGGACCGGUACUAAUAGACCGA
rnacentral:rRNA from 1 species